rnacentral:lncRNA from 1 species
CGAUGUUUGCUGGGAGUCCGUACCAUGUCGGCAGGAAAUCUGAUUUAUUAUUAUAUUUUUGUGCUAAAGACCUCCAAAGAGGCGUCCCCUUCCCAAUACCCCUGAUAAGUCCUCAAGAGAAGGCAAGCGGUGAGGGUCCGCAAUCGGCCCCCUCACUUUCGUCCAUGUCGUUCAUUGGCUCGUGUAACACGUUGUCGCCUUUG